UACGGAGGGUGCAAGCGUUAUCCGGAUUCACUGGGUUUAAAGGGUGCGUAGGUGGGUCUGUAAGUCAGUGGUGAAAUCUCCGAGCUUAACUCGGAAACUGCCAUUGAUACUAUAGGUCUUGAAUCAUCUGGAGGUAAGCGGAAUAUGUCAUGUAGCGGUGAAAUGCUUAGAUAUGACAUAGAACACCAAAUUGCGAAGGCAGCUUACUACGGAUGUAUUGACACUGAGGCACGAAAGCGUGGGGAUCAAACAGG
rnacentral:rRNA from 1 species